UACGAGGGGGGCGAGCGUUGUUCGGAAUUAUUGGGCGUAAAGGGUGCGUAGGCGGUUUGGUAAGUCUUAUGUGAAAUCUACAGGCUCAACUUGUAGUCUGCAUGAGAAACUGCCGGGCUUGAGUAUGGGAGAGGUGAGUGGAAUUCCUGGUGUAGCGGUGAAAUGCGUAGAUAUCGGGAAGAACACCCGUGGCGAAGGCGGCUCUCUGGGACGGUACUGACGCUGAGACGCGAAAGCGUGGGGAGCGAACAGG
rnacentral:rRNA from 1 species